GCGCACAUUUCAUUUCAAAACUGCAGUGGAGUGUGAAAACAUACAGUAUUUGUCCUCCAAAGAAGUUCUCAGAGUGGAGUGUUGCAGUUUGCUUCUAUGUAUGUGGGAGGGUCUGAGACCCUCUCUUGUUCCUGCAGUACACAGAGUAUAAAGUUGUUCUGCAAAGCUGAUACUGAAGUUCCCCAGAGUGACACUCUGAACUUCUGAAAUCCAUUCUACAGG